GUUCAAUAUUCUGAGCCUGGGCAAAUGAUCUACACAUGUGAGUGUAUGUGAGUGUGUGUGUGUGUUGUGUUGGGUGUGCAUAUCUACUUGUGAUAUGAAAACUGGCAACAUACCCACCAGCAAUUUGUGUCAAUCUAAAAAUGAAGAACAGAAUAAAAGUGUAGACAAGAGAAACAUGACUAUCUAGAAAUCAGGUGGGCAGAUCAAGCUUCAAAUGCCUUCCUUGCUUCAAACAUAUGCACGUGGCAGAUAAAAAGUAAAAAACGAGAAAAACUAAGAGGACAUAGCCAGAAUCAAAAAUACAGUAAACAUCUCUGUUGCCAGAAAGAGAGCAGAAACAUAAAAUGGUGAGGGGCAAGAAAUGAAAAGUUGAAUGCAGGUCGUGGCGACUGAGUUUGUCUGAAGGAAAAUGGAGAUUAAACUUCAAAUAGAAUUGAAAAGAAGAAGAAAAAAGCCUCCUCACAAUUUGAAACCUGAAAGUAAGACAAAAAGUCAUCACUAAUCUCUGUCUGCAGCCAUGACUCUUGGAACAUAACACAUCAAGAAACCAAGUGCAGAUUUUCAACCAGGAGCUAAGUCAGCUGCCCUCUGAGCUCAUUCCUGAGAUAUGUGAUAUCCCCAGCCUGGCUUUGAGUCAGGAAAGCUGCUUCUAUGACUUGACCUGAUUCUGGAUUAGGCUAUACAUAUAAACAGAAAAUCAUUGGACAGGGAGGGCUUAGCACAGAGAUGGGGAGUAAAGGCUUUGGGAUGGUUCCACUCAUUGCCAGCAUAUAAACCAAAUUUCUAAGGCAUGUGAAUAAGAAAGUGAAUAAAGUAAGUUAAAACCACUUGGAAUAAAAAUGUGUUAUAGGUUAAAUGAAUUGUAUAGAUGAGUCUGACCAGGCUUUUGAGAUAUGUAUUAAACGUUCAAAAGGAAAACAUGAAUUCUACUUAUUUUUUAAAACUUGUAAAACAAAACCAGUCACAAGUAAAUCAAGAACAG
rnacentral:lncRNA from 1 species